GUCCUCGAACAGAAAUAUUGAUGCCCUGUUAUCCUACAGAAAAAAUCGCCCAAUGAAUCAGUACAAGCCAAUCAAUGAGAUGGAAAAUCUCAACAUCAUGCAGGCACAUAGAGCAUCACCAAAGCAUAAAUUACCAGGGAACGAACUUGAUUCCAACGUCCUCUGCCACCGAAGACCCUUUCACGUUCUUCUGCUUCUGAAAGGUGCGAUGCCAUGGACACUAAGGUGCUGGAAGAAGUCGCAAGCAUGUUCUCAAGAGCGAAAA